GGGGGAGUACCAAAUUAUUGAAAGGCGGGGGCUGGACCUCUCGGGGUUACAGCCUUGCUGAAUUAUUCACCCUUGUCUUUUGCGUACUUCUUGUUUCCUUGGUGGGUUCGCCCACCACUAGGACAAACAUAAACCUUUUGUAAUUGCAAUCAGCGUCAGUAACAAAUUAAUAAUUACAACUUUCAACAACGGAUCUCUUGGUUCUGGCAUCGAUGAAGAACGCAGCGAAAUGCGAUAAGUAGUGUGAAUUGCAGAAUUCAGUGAAUCAUCGAAUCUUUGAACGCACAUUGCGCCCUUUGGUAUUCCAAAGGGCAUGCCUGUUCGAGCGUCAUUUGUACCCUCAAGCUUUGCUUGGUGUUGGGCGUCUUGUCUCUAGCUUUGCUGGAGACUCGCCUUAAAGUAAUUGGCAGCCGGCCUACUGGUUUCGGAGCGCAGCACAAGUCGCACUCUCUAUCAGCAAAGGUCUAGCAUCCAUUAAGCCUUUUUUUCAACUUUUGACCUCGGAUCAGGUAGGGAUACCCGCUGAACUUAAGCAUAUCAAUAAAGCGGAGA
rnacentral:rRNA from 1 species